UACGUAGGGGGCAAGCGUUGUCCGGAAUCAUUGGGCGUAAAGAGCGUGUAGGCGGCCAGAUAAGUCCGCUGUGAAAUCUCGAGGCUCAACUUCGAGCUGUCGGUGGAAACUGUCUGGCUAGAGUCCGGAAGAGGAGAAUGGAAUUCCUGGUGUAGCGGUGAAAUGCGCAGAUAUCAGGAAGAACACCGAUGGCGAAGGCAGGUCUCUGGGCCACUACUGACGCUGAGAAGCGAAAGCAUGGGGAGCGAACAGG
rnacentral:rRNA from 1 species